rnacentral:rRNA from 1 species
UGGGGAAUAUUGCACAAUGGGCGCAAGCCUGAUGCAGCCAUGCCGCGUGUGUGAAGAAGGCCUUCGGGUUGUAAAGCACUUUCAGCGAGGAGGAAGGUGGUGAACUUAAUACGUUCAUCAAUUGACGUUACUCGCAGAAGAAGCACCGGCUAACUCCGUGCCAGCAGCCGCGGUAAUACGGAGGGUGCAAGCGUUAAUCGGAAUUACUGGGCGUAAAGCGCACGCAGGCGGUUUGUUAAGUCAGAUGUGAAAUCCCCGGGCUCAACCUGGGAACUGCAUUUGAAACUGGCAAGCUAGAGUCUCGUAGAGGGGGGUAGAAUUCCAGGUGUAGCGGUGAAAUGCGUAGAGAUCUGGAGGAAUACCGGUGGCGAAGGCGGCCCCCUGGACGAAGACUGACGCUCAGGUGCGAAAAGCGUGGGGAGCAAACAGGAUUAGAUACCCCUGGUAGUCCACGCUGUAAAACGAUGUCGAUUUUGGAGGUUGUGCCCUUGAGGCGUGGCUUCCGGAGCUAACGCGUUAAAUCGACCGCCUGGGGAGUACGGCCGCAAGGUUAAAACUCAAAGGAAUUGACGGGGUCAUAGCUGUUUCCU